rnacentral:ribozyme from 1 species
UUCUUGUUCUUCUUGUUCUUCUUGUUCUUCUUGUUUUUCCUUCCAUCUCUUUUAUCGCUUCCUUCUUUAUCGCCUGUAGUAGCUGCAACAAACUCGUCGAGAGCUCCAAAGAGAGGCAUUUCCUGAAACCAUCCAAAGAAUGAUGUAUUCGUAUUCAAGUCUUGUGAGCUAGGAAUGCACAAAUAAAAA